CCAAUGAGCAAAUUUGCAAAUCUACCAGUAUACCGAUCGAGUUUGCCAUUUGGCAUGUCCAUAGUGGAGCAUAACUUACAAAUUUGCGAGUUUGCUGUGUAACCCUUCCUUCGACUCCACCAACUCAUUUCCUCUCUAACUCCAUCGGGUCAAAGCACUCCCACUUCUUCACCACACACAGAACCAACCAACACAGUUAGUCAGUCACUCUUAUCGGUCAGGAUUUGCACCUCUCUCUUACAAAGUCAUUAACUUUGACUCAGGUUUAGAGAACCUCAAAUAAAAUAAACGAAGAAGAAGAAGAAGAAAUCGAUAGAAGAAGAGAUUCAUGGCUUUCCAGGACUAAUAUGAAGAAUGUUUUGGAGAACAUGGAGAAAAGACAAAGUUUUCACUAAAUCAAUUGUAGAAUGACUUCGCCGAGAACUAACAUUUAGAUUUCCGAGUCUUCUGACUUCUGACCGUUCCAUCAUCUCGAGCCCUCUACCAUUGCGUUUGAGAUUUGUGCUCCAUCUAGCUUAUGAAUCUGCUCAGCUAUGGCGACAACCAGAGGUCAUGAACCAUUCUGGUAAUGCUCAGUUCCACUUGACUUUACUUUUUAUCUAAGGAUAUGAUUCAGGUGGCCAAUCCCUUCAUAAGUUGCUGCCACCACAUUAUAGGCCAAAACACCACAGCCAUUAGUAACAUAACUUAUAGAGAGUGUAGUAAUAUUUUGAUUGGACACCUUCCAGUUUCUUGGGAAACGUAUUUCAGUAAUCUCAUGGAUUUUGUUCAACUUGGCAGUAUCUAACUAAAGUAAUUCUUAUUCUUAUGUCUCCUUUCUUACUACAAUUUGUGCAAAAUAGAUGAAUGCAAGUUUGAAAUAAGGGUACAAUACUAAGAAUCGUCCACAUUGGUUGGAGGAGAUAUGUUUAGUCAUUGUGCACAUCAUUGAGAUCUACAUUGUCAAGUAGUUGAUCAUUUGGUGUAUUGGUAGAUUUAGGCAUCUGAGGCGCUACGCCAACAUUCAAGGCCUACGAUGAUAUCUGCAGUGAAGUCAAGGGUGGCCUAACUUUUAUUGUAGCAAAUACCAUCAGAAAGCUUACAGUUGUCAGGAGUUAAAGAAACUCUUCUGCCUUAGUGUCAUCCAUAUUUAUUGAGAAUAUUACCAUCAAAUCUUUGUUAUGCGUUCGAUUUGGCUGACUUGGCUUUUUUUCUCCCUCUCUUUAGUAGUUGAAAAAAUAUUUCAGAAAAUAAAUAGAUUUAGACACUUUUAUUUAUUUCAGAAAAUAAAUACAUUCAGUGAAGUCAAGGGUGGCCUAACUUCAAUGUUGUUGCAUCUAAUUGUAUUACAUUUUGUUGAUUGGUUAAGUAAUUUUUCAAACAAUUGUAUGAUUAUUUAUUAUUUUUAUUUUCUUUCCUUUCUUUUCGAAAUUGAACCCAACAGUUUAAUCAUCCAACACAAAAAAAAUAUCGUUUAACAAUUUCCCUUCAUUAUUGCAUCCGAAUGAACGACAAUAAGAGGCAUGAGGCAACUUGGUCAUGAUUCUCGACCUUGCACAUCUAGGGAGAGAAGAAGCUCCCGUGCUAGACUUUGCACCUAACCAUUUUUCUCAGUUCUUUCAACAAGAUGAUGGUUUCCAAAGAGAUGUAUAUCAGAUUGAGCUGUUCCUAGGAGUCGUCUAUAUGUGAAGGAGGGGAAUUCUGAAGGGACCGAUACAGUUCCUAUUGCCGAAUUUAUACUUGAUCAGAACUUGGAUCCAAAUGCAACUGCUGUGGAGAUAAUAUUUUGGUGAUCACCUUCAAGCUCCCCUUGAUACGGUAUAUUACCGAGUACGUUUCCUUGAAAAUAUAUUAGUGAUCAUAUCUGAGUUAAUCAAGCAAUCUAUUCGCAGGAGAUGGUAAAAUAAUUUGGUUAUAUUGUUCAAGAAUACUGCCGUCUGCCUUAUGAGUAGUCCUAAGAGCAGCUUCGAGAGGCAUGUUCACAGCACAGCCGAUUUUUCCGUUGUUAUUGUAUGCUUGAUAAUAAUACUCCCUCCGUCCCAUUAUUAGUUGACCUAGUCAUUUUUACAUUUUGUCUCAUUAAUAAUUGAUUUUAUAUCAUUUGAUACUCAUGUUUAUAUUCAUUAGUAGAUGUUUUAAAAUGCUUUUCAAUGAUAUAAAAUUUACGAAUA